GAUGAACGCUGGCGGCGUGCCUAAUACAUGCCAGUCGAGCGAACAGACGAGGAGCUUGCUCCUCUGACGUUAGCGGCGGACGGGUGAGUAACACGUGGAUGACCUACCUAUAAGACUGGGAUAACUUCGGGAAACCGGAGCUAAUACCGGAUAAUAUAUUGAACCGCAUGGUUCAAUAGUGAAAGACGGUUUUGCUGUCACUUAUAGAUGGAUCCGCGCCGCAUUAGCUAGUUGGUAAGGUAACGGCUUACCAAGGCAACGAUGCGUAGCCGACCUGAGAGGGUGAUCGGCCACACUGGAACUGAGACACGGUCCAGACUCCUACGGGAGGCAGCAGUAGGGAAUCUUCCGCAAUGGGCGAAAGCCUGACGGAGCAACGCCACGUGAGUGAUGAAGGUCUUCGGAUCGUAAAACUCUGUUAUUAGGGAAGAACAAAUGUGUAAGUAACUAUGCACGUCUUGACGGUACCUAAUCAGAAAGCCACGGCUAACUACGUG
rnacentral:rRNA from 1 species